rnacentral:rRNA from 1 species
GACGAACGCUGGCGGCGUGCUUAACACAUGCAAGUCGAACGGAAAGGCCCUGCUUUUGUGGGGUGCUCGAGUGGCGAACGGGUGAGUAACACGUGAGUAACCUGCCCUUGACUUUGGGAUAACUUCAGGAAACUGGGGCUAAUACCGGAUAGGAGCUCCUGCUGCAUGGUGGGGGUUGGAAAGUUUCGGCGGUUGGGGAUGGACUCGCGGCUUAUCAGCUUGUUGGUGGGAUAGUGGCUUACCAAGGCUUUGACGGGUAGCCGGCCUGAGAGGGUGACCGGCCACAUUGGGACUGAGAUCCGGCCCAGACUCCAACGGGAGGCAGAAGGGGGAGUAUUGCACAAUGGACGGAAGCCUGAUGCAGCAACGCCGCGUGCGGGAUGACGGCCUUCGGGUUGUAAACCGCUUUCGCCUGUGACGAAGCGUGAGUGACGGUAAUGGGUAAAGAAGCACCGGCUAACUACGUG